CAAUGAAAUAAUGUAAUAAAAGCCCAUCUGAGUAAAAUAAAUAAAUUCAGAGGCCCAAUCAGUAAAUAAAAUCGGCCCAAAAUUAAUAAAUAAUCCAGCCCAACUCAAGCCCACUGAAAAUAAAUAACAAAGCCCAAUAAAAUAAUAACUAGGAGGCCCAAAUUUUUCGGCCCAACUCAAUUAAAAAUAAAGGCCCAAUCACAGCCCAAAUACUAAAAUAAAUAAAGCCCAAAGAAUUGGCCCAACUCCAUCUUCUUCUCCUUCAAACACGGUCCAUACUAUUCUCUCACCCACACAAUUUCAGAUCUCUCUCUCUCUUCAAAGAAACGCACACACAGACGCACAUCUCACCCUCUCACGCGAUCUGCCGCCGCCGCCUGAGACCCGCGAAGGAUCCGGCGCAACCGCCGCCGACAGAUGUUGCUGUUGCCGCUGCUGUCUGAGAUCGGUGGUCAAAACGCCUGCUGGAGGAACGCCGCUGCCGUCAGCUUGUCCGAAGUCGCCGCCAACUACCGCUGCUGUUUCGCCGGAGUCGCGGCCUGGAGCUGCUGCAGCUCGUUCGGUGGUCAGUGGCUCGUUGGAGGAGCGCCGCCGUCGGCCGCUGCUGUUGACAGCAAGAGCCCGGCAGCCGCCUCUCCCGGAGCCGCCGUCGCCGUGAGUCGCAGAGCUCCGACAGUCCAGUACCACUCAUCCUAAAGCUAAGUUCUCUAGUCAUUCUUCCUUUCAAAAUAAAGAAUCUGAAAAUCUAAUUCCUCCUCUCUCUCUUUCGUUGGUAGGAAGAGGAAAAAGGCAGCGCCUUUGCCGCUGUGUCGUGACUGAGUAACCGGCGAGCAGAACCGCUGAGGUCUGUGCUUGCGCCCCUCCGACGCCGGUGAAAGUUCUGCCGUCGCGUCCUCGAUUCACUGAGCAGGGCAGUCAGCCUCAUUUCCUAAAGCUAAGUUCGAUUCCCAAUUGUUGUGUAAAAGAAAUUCUUGUGGUAUCUAAUACUCUAUGAAUCUCAUAAAUGUUAUUGUUAUCUAGAGUACUUGGUUUAGAAGCUAAAAUGUUGAAACGUACUUAUCUCGCAUAAAAAUUCUAGUCUGAUGUACUGCUAUUUAUGCCUUUGUCUUGUGAAUAAAACUGAUUGAGCUAUUCUAUAUCUGAAUUUUUGAUUGAUCUAAGCAUGCUAUGUUGGGGUGUGAAAUAUGCAAACAUAUAGACUAACUUGAGAUGGUAAUACCUUGAUUGUUUUGUCCUUUUGGCUGUCUGUUGCUCUGUUUGAAUUUAAUGAGAAGAUAGCUGAAAAAAAAUCACAUAUCUUGUUUUUUUUUAACAAUGCAGGGAGAACUAAGAAAAGAAAAAAAAAUGGAUAAGGCUAAGCCAAUCUUACCUCUUCGAAGUUUUGCAGCAGCUAGACAAUUCUCUCAAGCUAUUGAUGCUUAAAGAGAGAAGAAUUUGGUGGGUGAUAUAAUAAGGAGUGAAGUUGGUGGCUGUAAAGGGAGGAAAGCAUGGCUUUUGGUGGUUGAAGAGGAAUGGUGUUGCAUUUGAUGUGUAGUAAUGUGGGAUAUGGCUGAAGUACAGCUCUUGCCUCUUGGGAAUUAUAAACUUGUAGUACAGUAACGCGCUUAAUGAAAUACUAAUCUUGAAUUCUUACUAA